AGUUCGUCUCGCGAGCUUCGACGCGACGUUACGUGUUGUCGGUCCCGUUACGUGCCACUCCGUUUCGAUUAACCGUGUCCCCUCCUAUCCAGUGUGCCAGUGUUGUGCUCCUUCUUCGUCGUGUUUAUCGUUUUCAAUCGUACUCGAACGUUCUCGCGUUCAGGUGUCGUGUAAACACCUGGCACCGUCGAUAACCAGUGACCGCGUGACGCCGGACGGAAAUCGAACAAAAUGACGUUUCAUCCGGUCGAGACUCGUUCUUCCGGGUCAUCGUUCGAUCGAACGAUCAUCCUGAUCACGAUCGAACUACAAUCAGUGAAUUAAUAAGUAAACGACAACGUGACACGCUGUAUCUCUUUCUCCGAACCACCCCCCGCACCUCUUCGCGAGACAGGAAAGCUGUCGGUUCGGUGUUUGUACAACAGUGUCGUGUGAUCGUUUGUGUACACGCAACGAGCAAAGCUUUCAUCGAGGACUAAAAGAUGCUUGGGGUGAAAGAGAGAAGAGUCUUGUACUUUGAAAAUACUGAACCGAUUUGGUUAGUGAAUUUCGUCGAUCGCGCGGUUCGUGUGAACGGUCCUUCGUGUGAUUGUGCGAUGGAGGCGAUGGAGUACAGUGCAACGUUCACGGAUCUACGACCGUACGAUUAGGGAGUGAACGCGCGUGUAAAUCAGCCACCAUCGUCGUGAACUGGUCAAGAAAAAGAAAGAAAGGCAUUGAAUCGCGUAAAGUGCGCGAUAUUUCAGUGACCCAUUGACUGCGAAGCGUAUAAAUGAAACCGCGUACCGCGACGUAUCGAUGUUUCCGAGAUCCCCACCCUCCCCGAGCGAAGCUGCACACGUAGAAAGGAUAAUGGGGUUAGAAUCGAGAAGUUAAACACGUGGGAUUUUAGACUCGAAUCUCUCUGCCGUGUCCAGACAAAUCCGGAAAGACGAGACAGAAGUUAAUUAAAGUCAAUGAUCGAGUCUAAUGGGAAAAGCAUCACGGGAAGGUUGCGUCGGGGAGGCGUGCAGUUAGCGCUCGAACAGGCCUAAAUGAAGAGAGAUCGUCACGGGGACAGGUGAUCGAUAGGGAUUGCGAGGAGCCGCGCAAUUCUGGAAUCGUGUGUGCGCUCGCGCGGAGAUCGCAGGCUGAUCGUGGCGGUAAAACGCGAGGGGAGGGACGGAGAGCAAGAUGGAACUCUUCCUGAUUCUCGUCUGUCUAAUUGCACCGCCCACCCUCUCGCUCUCGAUCAAGAGCAAGUUGAAUCCAAGGAUCGUUCAAACGCGGUACGGCGAGGUGCAGGGGUUAGUACGGUCCUUCGAGUACGCCAAGUUCCUCAAGCCGAUCGACGUCUAUCUUGGAAUACCGUACGCCACCCCACCGGUCGGGGGCAACAGAUUUUCACCGACCAGGGCACCCAGCCCGUGGGAAGGAGUCAGAUUAUCGGAUUCGGUCGGUCCAGUUUGUCCCCAAAAGCUGCCCGACAUCUCGAAUGAGCAAGAAGCACUGGAGCGUAUGCCGAAAGGCCGAUUAGAGUACUUGAAGAGGCUACUACCUCAUUUACGGAAUCAGAGCGAGGAUUGUCUCUACUUGAACAUCUACGCACCUGCUAUGGGCAUGGCGGACAGCGGUAGAAGGCAUCCGGUGUUACUCUAUAUCCACGGUGAGAGCUACGAUUGGGGCAGCGGAAACCCGUACGACGGUAGCGUGCUGGCCAGCUACACCGACCAAGUGAUCGUAACGAUGAACUACCGUCUGGGCGUGCUCGGCUUCCUGAACGCCAAUGUGGCGCCUCAGACGAAGGCAAGGGUCGCGAAUUAUGGUCUCAUGGAUCAGAUUGCGGCGCUUCACUGGGUCAAAGAGCAUAUCGCCUUGUUUGGCGGCGAUCCCAACAACGUGACGCUGAUGGGCCAAGGAACUGGCGCUGCUUGCGUUCAUUUUCUCGCCAUCAGCCCGACAGUCAUACGUGGUUUAUUCAAAAGAGCCAUCCUUCUGUCAGGAAGUGCUCUAUCGUCAUGGGCAGUGGUCGAGGAUCCUGUUUCGUACGCUUUGAAAUUGGCCAAAGCCGUCAACUGCUCAAUUCCUGAAGAUCUGCUCAAAGAUAACGAGCUGAUCGUCGAUUGCCUUCGAGAACGUAGCCUAGAAGAGUUGAUGCAGGUCGACAUCCAACCGCCAACUUUUCUCAGCGCGUUCGGACCCAGUGUGGAUGGCGUGGUCAUCAAACCGGAUUUCCAAAAGGAUCUCCUGUCCUACAUGGGUCCAGAGUUUCAAGGAUUUGGACCACUGCCAAAGAAGGCUGAACACGGUGCACCAAUUACAAGCAACAACAAGUAUGACCUGUUAUUUGGAGUAACGACGAGCGAGGCUUUGUGGAAAUUCGCAGAAAAGGAUGUUCAGCAAGGAUUCGAGGGCGAAAGAAGAGACAGGAUAAUCAGAACGUACGUGAGGAACGCGUACGUUUAUCAUCUCACGGAAAUAUUCUAUACCGUGGUGAACGAGUAUACGGAUUGGGAACGUACGGUCCAACAUCCGGUGAACACGAAAGACGCUUGCGUCCAGGCACUAAGCGACGCCCAAUUCGUGGCGCCGUUGGUGCAAACCGGUGAUUUAUUCACCCUGAGACACACAAAGAAACCGAACAACCCUCACAUAGCACCGGUGCCGGAAAGUGAAAAGGAACCGAUGCCCAAAACAUAUUUUUACGUGUUCGAUUAUCAGAUGAAGGACGGUGAUUAUCCCCAGAAAAUGGGCUCCGUUCAUGGUGAAGAGUUACCGUUCGUUUUCGGGGCUCCGUUAGUGGAUGGUUUCGGCCACUUCCCAAGAAACUACACCAGAUCUGAAGUGGCACUUUCCGAGAGCAUCGUACAGUACUUCGCCAACUUCGUCAGAACUGGGAACCCGAACGUGAUCGAUCACCAUGGUCGAAACGACACUCUGCUGCCUGCCAGCCGGGAGAAAAGCCGUUUCCGAAGUCUGACAUGGGAUCAAUACGACCCGGUGCAUCAGAAAUACCUGGAGAUCGGCUUACGACCAAAGAUGAAGAAUCAUUAUCGAGCUCAUCAACUAUCAGUCUGGUUACGUCUAGUACCAGAGCUUCAUCGAGCAGGAAUGGAGGACGUAGAUUCCAGGCACAAUUUAUUCCGGGGUCAUUCGGAUCCAAGUCUUUACGACGGUUCUGUAAGACCAGAUCCAUUGAGCAGGAUCAGCGAGGAAUUCAAAAGGAAGAACAUCACCACGGAACCACCAACUACAACCGACUACAACGCGGCCACAUGUGUCAGCUAUAUUCAAAGCACAAACCUUCAGACCGUUCAUAACGCUAGCACAGACACUCUGGCUAGUCUGGAUGCAGCUGGAUACGCGGCGUACUCGACAGCUCUGAGCGUCACGAUCGCGAUUGGCUGCAGCUUGUUGAUCCUGAACGUCCUCAUUUUCGCCGGCGUCUAUUAUCAGAGGGACAAAACGAGGCUCGAGGUGAAGAGCCUUCAGCAGCAACAAAUGUUGAAUCAACAGUGCGGUCCACGAGGAUUCACCGAGCUGAAGCAACCACCGCCCCCUCACUCGCAUUUCCCUGGAAGUGGUCAGGUCAUCGUCGACGUUGAAAAUGAGAUGUUAAGAAGGAACGUUAUGAAAGGUCCUCCGAACGAUCCCAACACGCUUCUCCAACAAGGCCAGGGAACUCAUACGUUGCCUCAUCAACAUCAUUAUCAAAAGCAACAUCAACAACAGCAUGCCACUCUUCCCCGAGCUUCCGUCAUACAGGACAUGAACGCACAAACCCAAGGUCCACCAAACGGGUCCAUACAUCUGACAGUACCAAGAGCACCACCACCCCCUCGAGCAAAGAGCCCACCCGAAAACCAGCCCCUGCUGCAAAGUGCCACCGUGUCGAGUCGCGUGUCCCAGGCUACCAUGAGCGAGAUGAGAGUGUGAUGCUUGGACCCCCCUCCGAAACCAGUCGUCCCGGAUGUUCUCACGGCAUCGACCUUACUUUAAAACUGCGUUUCGGUCCGAACACAGUUCGGAAAUCUCCUUUGGAAAUUUCGCGAACGGUAACACGUUCGUGUCGCCAUGACUUUCGACCUGUCCAGGUGAUGACGAGCUGAUAAUCAACGGAGGGGGGUGAACAGAGCUUUACUCUCGAUGCAGAAGAAGAAAAAAUCGAGUACCAGGCAAGCUGGGAGAAUGAAGAAGUGUAAUAAAGAACGUUCGUGACUUCGAUGGAUACCAAAAGAGGUGUUAACGGCAAGGGAGUGACGCUCAACAGCCAUUGAAUCGAUCAUGGAGACCCGUGUAUAAAAAAAAAAAAAAACUACUUAUCCACUACGAUGUUAGAUGUUCCUUGUACAUAAAAGAAAAAAAAGUGAAUUUAUACCAUAAGAAGAAAGCCAAAAAAGAACGUUUGCUACUUUCUAAGAGGACGUGUAACUCAUGUCGUGUCGCGUAUCGUUUGAUCGUCCAUUAAUUAUUUUCUUUAUUUCAGUCGUUCUUUAUUCUUCGAUCUGAUUGUGAACGUUACAUGAUGUAAGUGUGAAAGAUCAUUGUAAAACAUUAUUUGUCGACGAUCUGAUCGAUUCUGUUUGAUUGAUCGAAGAAAAUCUAAGCUUAAAUUAAUAAUGAAAAUUUCCUUUGCUUUCAAUUGGCUAACUUGUUAAUUACACAGAAGGAUUAAAAGUACUAAUGCAGUUUGCCUCUUGUAUAGAGGACACAAAGUACCGUCCAUAAGAAUUAUAUUUCUUUUUUCUUUCUGGAUACCCAUUAAUAUUUUAAUAUUUGAAAACUUAUACCUUUCGCCUAUUACAAAAAGAAAAGAAUUGAAACUAUUUUAGAUGAUCUUUCUUUCAUCGAUCAAACGUAUCGAUCUUCGAUGACAAAAAUCAUUCAUCCUCCAAUGCAUACAACUGCCAUUCAUCACGAUUUCAUUCUAAAUUCAGGAACAAUAAUCAAGGAACGUUCCCUCUCAACGGUAAUCGCGUCUGUGUAACGGUACAUGGUAAUUGCCAUUUUUUCUACGUUUUUGGUAACAUUGAGAAAUGGGAUCUCGUUUCAUUUUACCACGUACACUGUAAAAAGAUGAAUGCCAACAGAAUUAAAUAGGAAAAGCGAUCCCUAGGGAAACCCAGUGUGCUCGACAGUGUACGCUCGAGUGCAAUGUAGGUCUGUUAAAUAAAGGAAACCUAAACUGCACGUGAAUGUACACCGAGUCCCAAUUAAUCGUAGAAAUAACCAUCUUCGUGCAAAUGGAUCAUUUAAAGCCCAUGAUACCCUAAAAAUAUCGAAAAUGUUGAAAUGUUGAAAAGCGAUUCGUAUGAGAUCCAAGGUGUACGUGAUUUUUUGUAAAGAUAUACGUAUACAUAUAGGUGUAACAUAAAGACUAACGUAAAUCUGUUAUUAUUAUGCGUAAUGCACUGCCACAGGACUCGAAAAUUCAUGCAGGAUAACGAGAAAAAUCGUAAGAAUUUCUCUGGUCGGUUUGGAUCAUUAAGACUGUCCUUUGAUGUGCUUUUAUUCUUUGAAGCAACAUUUAGUGAUAAGUUCUGAGUAAUUUCUUUUGUUUUAUUAUAGAUUACAUAUAGCUCUACUAUUUUUUGAAGAUUUUAAUGUGUUUCGAAUGACUGAACAGAAUUAUUUAAGAAAAUUCUUCUCCAUUGUUAUUUUCCACUGUACCACGAAUCAAAAUACGCUUCAAAGGAUUAAUCACUUUCCCUGCUGUCAAAUAAUCAAAAUUUUCUUAACAAAAUCGCCGAGAAUAAUAAACUAAACAUCCAUUUUUAUGUUCUUUAUUAUAGAAUUGUAUUGUUUAUACAUAGAAAAGAAUAAAUCAAAAAUCUGAACCGCCAAACCGCCAUUCUGCGUUCGUAGCAGUGAACCUUUAAAGUUCUUCUGAACAAUUGAUUUAAGGGUUCGUUUUUAAUGAAAACUCUGUCGCGAGGACCGAGCUUAAAUGGGGAAAAUAGAGCGCGUGUUAAUAUAAAGAGAAUCAAAGUUUUUGUACAUAUAUUAAGCGAUUAAAGUAAAAAGAAAGAAUCAAAGAACUCGGUUUACGGUGUUCGUCAAGCUGUUUACAAACGAUUGAGAAAAACUAGUCGAACAUUUUCAAUAUAAUCGUUAUAAUGGAGCAGAGACACACGGAAUAAAGUAGCACAGAAUCAAAUGAUUAUUUUCUUUUUUUUUUCUACGAUCACUUGCGAAAAUAAUGGAACUUCGUGAAAGAAUUACAUAAUAAAAUAUCAUUAAGUACGGACAAUCCGAAUAUACUAAAAACUAAAUGAAAAGCGAGUAACAGUAGACGUAAUUAAGAACAAGCCAUGGUGGGUAAAAAAAAAAAAAGAAAAGGAAAAAGGGAAAGAACAACGCUAAUGGAAACAUUGAACCGAUUAAACAAGUGUUUAAGGAAAUUUAAAUAACAUAUAUUAAAGAUACAUAUUAUGGAUUGUAAUGAAUUUAUUAUGACGAAUAUUAUUAUAUUUAUGUGACUUUUAGCUGGUCUCGCACUCUGCCAGAAAGAUAUCCGGAAUAAAUUUUCUGGCCGAGGGUAAGGCUAUCUGUUAUGUUUAACGUUUCUGUUACCAAAUUGUAAAUAUAUAACAAAAUACAUGGAGAUAUUAAUUGUA